rnacentral:misc_RNA from 1 species
CGUGAAAGGGAAAAAGGGAAGGAACGAACGAAAAAGGAUGAAACAGAUAGUGAAAAUGUUGAUCCAACUGAAAAUUAUACCCACAAAGAGGACAAGAAAAGGGAAAAAGACAAGGAUAGGAGACAUCGGAGACGGCAUCAAAGUGGUACUGAUGAUGUGAGUUCUGACAAGGAUGAGAAAGAGGAAUCUAAAAAAUCACGCAGACAUGGCAGUGACCGUAAAAAAUCAAGAAAGCAUUCAUACACACCUGAGUCAGAUAGCGAAAGCCGGCAUAAAAGGCACAAGAGAGAUCACCGCGAUGGUUCCCAUAGAAAUGGCGGCUAUGAGGAGCUAGAAGAUGGGGAGGUUGGUGGGGAUGGGGAGGCUCAUUAGUACCCUAUUGUCAGAUUGUAAGAUACAAGAAUUUUGCAGCUAGUUCUCAGGUUUUCCUAGCGCGUUCAGUUUGUUGCAAGAGAUUGUUACUGAAAGAUAAAUGGUGCUGUUGUAGGUUUUGGAAAUAGGUGAACGAGAACCUGCUGCUUUGAUGGAAUGUAUAAAGGUUUUCUCCCCCGGUUUUUUUCACUUAUGUGUUAAGAGAUCAUGAUUAGUGUUAGUGUUUGGCA